rnacentral:rRNA from 1 species
GUUUAGGGGUAANCNUGAGAAACCCGAAAAGUCGAAGGGAGAAAUUCAUCGUCGUUUCGAGGCAGGCGUCGGACGGUGUGUGCGUGCGCGGGCGUUUACGUUCGCGCAUCCUCCGUCCGUUCGGUCCGGUCGCGAACGCGUGCAUUUUUCUUCCGGUAGGACGUCGCAAUCCGUUGGGGUUUUAUAUAAAUCGGUCUACGGCUCGAGGUGGAGCUCGUUGACGCGCGCGCCCUUAAAAGCGUCGUCGUCGACGGACCCGCGAAGUCCCGACCGAUACCCGACGGUAUAACAAAUGAUCGCGGGCCGCUCUUCUUUGAUGAGCGUUCGACGCGGCGCAAGCGCGCCGGCUAAGCGUCGGCGAUCGGACCUGGUGCCGAUUCCGACCGCCGGUGACUGUUGGCGUCGCAGUUCUCGAACCGCGCUCGAUCGAUCGAUUGGCGACGCUAUAGCUUUGGGUACUUUCAGGACCCGUCUUGAAACACGGACCAAGGAGUCUAGCGUGUGCGCGAGUCACUGGGACCGUAUACGAAUCCUAAAGGCGCAAUGAAAGUAAGAACGCGGCUUCGCGCCCGUUCGGGGAAGACGGGCGGCUAGCGAUAGUCGCCUCGCAUUCCCGGGGCGUCUCGUUCUCAUCGCGAGAUGAGGCGCACCCCGAGCGUACACGCUGGGACCCGAAAGAUGGUGAACUAUGCCUGGUCAGGACGAAGUCAGGGGAAACCCUGAUGGAGGUCCGUAGCGAUUCUGACGUGCAAAUCGAUCGUCGGAACUGGGUAUAGGGGCGAAAGACUAAUCGAACCAUC